UCGUACCACCGAGCCAUUCAGGCUGUCGCUGACCGCAUUCAAAGGUCGUGCACGCCCCGAGUGUGCUCACCAUCAUCCACUUCACCCUUGUGCAUCACCGCGUGGGGCACCCCCUUUCUUCAAAGGGGUCCACGUCCUUUACACAAACGCCCCAAGUUUAGAAUGUCUUUGCGGUCACACGCAAUCAAUA
rnacentral:misc_RNA from 1 species